GGUUACUUAGUUUAAGUUAAAAUAUUGGUUUUGUAAACCUAAGAUAAUUUUUUAUUAUUAACCA
rnacentral:tRNA from 1 species